rnacentral:rRNA from 1 species
UGGGGAAUAUUGCACAAUGGGGGAAACCCUGAUGCAGCGACGCCGCGUGAACGAAGAAGGUAUUCGUAUCGUAAAGUUCUGUCCUAUGGGAAGAUAAUGACAGUACCAUAGAAGAAAGCUCCGGCUAAAUACGUGCCAGCAGCCGCGGUAAUACGUAUGGAGCGAGCGUUGUCCGGAAUUAUUGGGCGUAAAGGGUACGCAGGCGGUUUAAUAAGUCGAAUGUUAAAGAUCGGGGCUCAACCCCGCAAAGCAUUGGAAACUGAUAAACUUGAGUAGUGAGAGGAAAGUGGAAUUCCUAGUGUAGUGGUGAAAUACGUAGAUAUUAGGAGGAAUACCAGUAGCGAAGGCGACUUUCUGGACACAAACUGACGCUGAGGUACGAAAGCGUGGGGAGCAAACAGG